GACGAACGCUGGCGGCGUGCUUAACACAUGCAAGUCGAACGGUAAGGCCCUUCGGGGUACACGAGUGGCGAACGGGGGAGUAACACGUGGGUGAUCUGCCCUGCACUUCGGGAUAAGCCUGGGAAACUGGGUCUAAUACCGGAUAGGACUCCUGGCUUCAUGGUUGGGGGUGGAAAGCUUUUGCGGUGUGGGAUGGGCUCGCGGCCUAUCAGCUUGUUGGCGGGGUAAUGGCCUACCAAGGCGACGACGGGUAGCCGGCCUGAGAGGGUGACCGCUCACACUGGGAGUGCGAUACGGCCCAGACUCCUACGGGAGGCAGCAGUGGGAAAUAUUGCACAAUGGGGGCAAGCCUGAUGCAGCGACGCCGCGUGAGGGAUGACGGCCUUCGGGUUGUAAACCUCUUUCAGCUAUGACGAAGCGCAAGUGACGGUAGUAGCAGAAGAAGGACCGGCCAACUACGUGCCAGCCGCCGCGGUAA
rnacentral:rRNA from 1 species